rnacentral:tRNA from 1 species
UCUAUUUUGGCAGAUAAAUGUGUUAAAUUUAGGAUUUAAGUAUGUAUAGAAAUUUACAAGUAGAA